GUUUAAUAGGCCAUUUUUAGCCAAUUUGUUAGAUUUUCAAAAAUUCGUUCCAAAUUUUAUUUGGCGAUAUCCCAGUCAAUAUUGCACGUAAAUAAACAUGCUAUAGCUCAAAAUUUAAGUUAGACUAUUAUGAAUACAGCUGCGUUUAUUUCAGCGAUGUAACAUUUAUAGUUUUUUCGCUGUACUAAAUCAAACGCGUGAACUUUUUUUUGCGCCACCCGGUAUAUAUAUUAUGUUCGAAAGAUGAGUAUAACACAGAGGCGGAAAAAUAACCGGUUCAAAAUUUGUCCGGCCAAAAAUGUUAGGCUCGGAUUCCAUCCGUUAUGGUUCUCGGGCGAGUUCCAAGAACCCUAACGGCUGGAAUCCGACCCUAGAAGAAUGUCCGACCAAAAUGAAAUUUGAUCAGAAAGUUUCAAAUUUAGCCGGCAUUGUUUCGAUUCCAUUUUGAUUUCAUGCUUUCGUUGGGUAAAUUAAGCCAACAUAUAAAUAAUACUUUAGGCUAAACACUAUCCAGUAUAUAUAUAGUUCAAUCUUCUACAUUUAAUGUUCUUUGUGGGAGGAUUGAAUGCAGCUUAUGGCGGUUAAGCCAGUCUUUCAAGGAGGUUGACUGCUAUUUUUUGUCAGGACAUUAAAAUGUCCGUGAUUUUCCGACAAGAAAAUGUCGAGCCAAUGUCCGACCGUUAUUUCAAGCUCUGCAGCUAAUAUGAUAUGGUAUGAAUUUAGGGACCGG